rnacentral:misc_RNA from 1 species
GAUGAAGAACGUAGUGAAAUGCGAUAAGUAGUGUGAAUUGCAGAAUUCAGUGAAUCAUCGAAUCUUUGAACGCACAUUGCGCCCCCUGGUAUUCCGGGGGGCAUGCCUGUCCGAGCGUCAUUGCUGCCCUCAAGCACGGCUUGUGUGUUGGGCCCCGUCCUCCGAUCCCGGGGGACGGGCCCGAAAGGCAGCGGCGGCACCGCGUCCGGUCCUCGAGCGUAUGGGGCUUUGUCACCCGCUCUGUAGGCCCGGCCGGCGCUUGCCGAUCAACCCAAAUUUUUAUCCAGGUUGACCUCGGAUCAGGUAGGGAUACCCGCUGAACUUAAGCAUAUCAAUAAGCGGAGGA